rnacentral:misc_RNA from 1 species
UAUGUGUCAAUGGAGAUCAUGAAACCUCCCCAGACGGAUGAUCCAGCUCAAAAGAACACACUUCUUGUUUUCAAGUUUCUUCCUCUCAUGAUUGGUUACUUUGCCUUGUCUGUCCCAUCAGGAUUAUCUAUUUACUGGUUCACAAACAAUGUCCUCAGCACAGUCCAACAGGUAUGGUUACGCAAAUUAGGUGGUGCAAAGCCUGUGGUUAAUGAGAAUGCAAGUGGAAUCAUCACUGCAGGACGUGCAAAACGAUCAGCUUCACAGCCAGCACAGCCUGGCGAUAGGUUCAGCAAGUUGAAGGAAGAAGAGAAGAGGAAAAAGACAAGCAAGGCACUAGCAGAUGAAGAGAUUCAGACUCUAGAUUUUGCAUCUGGUUCUAAUGAGGACUCAGAUGAAGAGACUAAGGACAAGGGUGAAGGAGUUCUAGAAGAAGCAUAUGCUUCUAGUGCAAGCAAACAGGUUCCAGAUAUUUCUAGGCCAA